GCCCAACUGGGGGCGUUGCUAUACAUGCAAGUCGAGCGGACAGAUGGGAGCUUGCUCCCUGAUGUUAGCGGCGGACGGGUGAGUAACACGUGGGUAACCUGCCUGUAAGACUGGGAUAACUCCGGGAAACCGGGGCUAAUACCGGAUGGUUGUUUGAACCGCAUGGUUCAAACAUAAAAGGUGGCUUCGGCUACCACUUACAGAUGGACCCGCGGCGCAUUAGCUAGUUGGUGAGGUAACGGCUCACCAAGGCAACGAUGCGUAGCCGACCUGAGAGGGUGAUCGGCCACACUGGGACUGAGACACGGCCCAGACUCCUACGGGAGGCAGCAGUAGGGAAUCUUCCGCAAUGGACGAAAGUCUGACGGAGCAACGCCGCGUGAGUGAUGAAGGUUUUCGGAUCGUAAAGCUCUGUUGUUAGGGAAGAACAAGUACCGUUCGAAUAGGGCGGUACCUUGACGGUACCUAACCAGAAAGCCACGGCUAACUACGUGCCAGCAGCCGCGGUAAUACGUAGGUGGCAAGCGUUGUCCGGAAUUAUUGGGCGUAAAGGGCUCGCAGGCGGUUUCUUAAGUCUGAUGUGAAAGCCCCCGGCUCAACCGGGGAGGGUCAUUGGAAACUGGGGAACUUGAGUGCAGAAGAGGAGAGUGGAAUUCCACGUGUAGCGGUGAAAUGCGUAGAGAUGUGGAGGAACACCAGUGGCGAAGGCGACUCUCUGGUCUGUAACUGACGCUGAGGAGCGAAAGCGUGGGGAGCGAACAGGAUUAGAUACCCUGGUAGUCCACGCCGUAAACGAUGAG
rnacentral:rRNA from 1 species